rnacentral:rRNA from 1 species
UACGAAGGGGGCUAGCGUUGUUCGGAAUCACUGGGCGUAAAGGGCGCGUAGGCGGCUUUAUAAGUCGGGGGUGAAAGCCUGUGGCUCAACCACAGAAUUGCCUUCGAUACUGUAGAGCUUGAGACCGGAAGAGGUAAGUGGAACUGCGAGUGUAGAGGUGAAAUUCGUAGAUAUUAGGAAGAACACCAGUGGCGGAAGGCGGCUCACUGGCCCGGUACUGACGCUGAGGCGCGAAAGCGUG